ACGGCUCAGUAACACGUGGCUAAUCUGCCCUUAGGACGAGAACAACCCCGGGAAACUGGGGCUAACUCUCGAUAGGCGAAGAACUCUGGAAUGAGUCUUCACCUAAACAGUUCGGCGUUAUGCUCGUUGGACCGCCUAAGGAUGAGGCCGCGACCGAUCAGGUUGUUGGUGAGGUAAUGGCUCACCAAGCCUUUUACCGGUGCGGGCCGUGAGAGCGGGAGCCCGGAGAUGGGCACUGAGACAAGGGCCCAGGCCCUACGGGGCGCAGCAGUCGCGAAAACUUUGCAAUACACGAAAGUGUGACAGGGCUAUCCCGAGUGCCAUCCGCUGAGGAAGGCUUUUACCCAGUCUAGAAAGCUGGGGGAAUAAGGAGAGGGCAAGUCUGGUGUCAGCCGCCGCGGUAAUACCAGCUCUCCGAGUGGUGUGGAUGUUUAUUGGGCCUAAAGCAUCCGUAGCUGGCUAAGUUAGUCCCUUGUUAAAUCCACCGAAUUAAUCGUUGGAUCGCGGGGGAUACUGCUUGGCUAGGGGACGAGAGAGGCAGACGGUAUUUUCGGGGUAGGGGUGAAAUCCUAUAAUCCCGGGAAGACCACCAGUGGCGAAGGCUGUCUGCUAGAACGCGCCCGACGGUGAGGGAUGAAAGCUGGGGGAGCGAACCGGAUUAGAUACCCGGGUAGUCCCAGCUGUAAACGAUGCAGACUAUGUGUUUGGACGGCCACGUGCCGUUCUAGUGCCGCAGGAAGCUGUUAAGUCUGCCGCCUGGGGAGUACGAUCGCAAGAUUGAAACUUAAGGAAUUGGCGGGGGAG
rnacentral:rRNA from 1 species